UAGAACGCUAGCGGCAGGCUUAACACAUGCAAGUCGAGGGGCAUCGAGAGUAGCAAUACUUGUCGGCGACCGGCGCAAGGGUGCGUAACACGUGAGCAACAUACCCGUUCAGGAGGAUAACCGGAGGAAACUCUGCCUAAUACUCCAUGACAUCAUCAAACGGCAUCGUUUGAUGAUUAAAGAUUUAUCGGAAACGGCUUGGCUCGCGGGACAUUAGCUUGUUGGUGAGGUAACGGCUCACCAAGGCUACGAUGUCUAGGGGUUCUGAGAGGAAGGUCCCCCACACUGGAACUGAGACACGGUCCAGACUCCUACGGGAGGCAGCAGUGAGGAAUAUUGGACAAUGGUCGGAAGACUGAUCCAGCCAUGCCGCGUGAAGGUUACUGUCCUAUGGAUAUUAAACUUCUUUUGUAUGAGAGCAAUAAGGGUGCACGCGUGCACCGAUGAGAGUAUCAUACGAAUAAGCAUCGGCUAACUCCGUG
rnacentral:rRNA from 1 species